rnacentral:rRNA from 1 species
GACGAACGCUGGCGGCGUGCCCAAUACAUGCAAGUUGAGCGAUGAAGAUUGGUGCUUGCACCAAUUUGAAGAGCAGCGAACGGGUGAGUAACGCGUGGGGAAUCUGCCUUUGAGCGGGGGACAACAUUUGGAAACGAAUGCUAAUACCGCAUAACAACUUUAAACAUAAGUUUUAAGUUUGAAAGAUGCAAUUGCAUCACUCAAAGAUGAUCCCGCGUUGUAUUAGCUAGUUGGUUAGGUAAAGGCUCACCAAGGCGAUGAUACAUAGCCGACCUGAGAGGGUGAUCGGCCACAUUGGGACUGAGACACGGCCCAAACUCCUACGGGAGGCAGCAGUAGGGAAUCUUCGGCAAUGGACGAAAGUCUGACCGAGCAACGCCGCGUGAGUGAAGAAGGUUUUCGGAUCGUAAAACUCUGUUGGUAGAGAAGAACGUUGGUGAGAGUGGAAAGCUCAUCAAGUGACGGUAACUACCCAGAAAGGGACGGCUAACUACGU